AUGCUUGGUUACACAUCAGAACACUCUCUCUCAUGUUCUGGGAGCAGCGGGGAUGAAUAUGUUCCUCGAUCUACAGAAGAAACAAAAACUGACAGUUCUGCAGAAAGUGACAGUUUGGCAGAAAACAUCAAACGGCACAAAAGUAAGAAGCGAAAGUUACAGGAAACAACUUCAGCCAAUUUUCAGGAAGUAGGUGUCCAGCCACUGAAGAAAAUGUGCAGGACACCUUAUAAAUCCCCGACUGCAAAUGACACCAAAGAAUCCUCUUCAUCUGAUUGUGAUGACACCAGAGAAUCCUCUUCACCUGACAGUUCUGAUGUGACUGUCAUGACUUUAAAGAAGAAGGAACAUGGUGGCAGACUCUACAACAAGAAGUUCUACUGUGUUUUUUGCUCUAAGCCUUUCAGCAAAAUGGCACGCCAUUUAGAAUCAAAACACAAAGAUAAACCAGAAGUGGCAAGAGCAGUUGCUUGUCCAGUAGGGUCUAAAGAACGAAAAAUACAGUUGAGUUUAUUGCGAAACAAAGGGAAUCGUGCCCAUAAUAAUCAGGUGCUUAAAGAAGGAAAAGGAAUGGUGAUACCUCGUCAACAAUCCUGUGCACCUGUAAAAGCCAGUGAUUACUUGCACUGUAUAAAUUGUGAGGCUUACCUUAAAAGGAGGUCAAUGUGGAGGCACAUGCAGAGAUGUCACCUCAGCAGGAAAGUUAAAGGUUUACCGCCAGGAACGUCUAGAGUUCAGGCUCUAUGUAAAUAUGCUGAGCCAGUUCCAGACAAUGUGAAUGCACAGUUUUGGAAAUUGGUACAAGGUAUGCAUGAUGAUGAGAUAACGAAUACUGUUCGCAAAGAGAAAUGUAUACUGAAAUUAGGGGAGCAUCUCUUCAGUAAGCAUGGCCAUGAUGUCACUAAACAUGAUUAUAUCAGACAGAAAAUGCGUGAGACAGGGCGACUGCUGAUCCAAGGACAGAUAAAUGGCAAGUUGAAGAUGAUGUCAGAUUUUUUUGUACCAGCUAAUUUCCCUCAUGUGAUUGAGGCUGUGAAAAAUGUGGCUGGCUUGAAUGAGGAAACAAACACAUACAAAACUCCAUCUUUGGCACUGAAGUUAGGCCACAACCUUAAGAAAGUAGCAGAUGUUCUUGAAUGUGAAGCAAUGAUCUCUGGUGACGAGAAUAACAUUCACAAUAUGCGGGUGUUCAAGCAAAUCUGUGACACUAAAUGGAGUGAAUGUGUAUCAUCCAAGGCCCUCAGGAAUUUGAGUGAGGCAAAAUGGAAUGCUCCACAACUUCUUCCCUUCGCUGAAGAUGUAAAGAAGAUGCACCAGUAUCUCGACAUACAACGGGUAGAAUGCCAAACAAAACUCAAAGAUGAGCUGAGGAGGAAGCACUGGGUAGAACUAGCAAAAAUCACACUCUGUGACGUGAUACUCUUCAACCGAAGAAGAGAAGGAGAGGUAUCUAAAAUGUCUCUCAAUUCUUUUACAUUGAGAGACACGUCCUCGACUCAUCCAGAUGUAGAACUUGCUUUAUCUGACCUUGAGAAGAAGCUUUGUAAGCACUUCCAGCGAAUAGAGAUAAGAGGCAAACGUGGAAGAAAGGUCCCCAUUCUCCUCACACCUGAUAUACUGACAUCAAUGGAAUUACUUGUCAAGACUCGCCGCAGCUGUGAUGUGUUGGAUGAGAAUCCUUUCAUGUUUGGGAGACCACAAACACUCAGUCACUUCAGAGGAUCAGAUGUCAUACGGCAGAUUGCUCAAAGCUGUGGGGCAAAGCAUCCAGAAGCCUUGUCCUCCACCAAGUUGAGGAAGCACAUGGCCACUAUGUCUAAGGUCCUCAACUUGAAGGACAACGAAAUGGAUGACCUUGCGGACUUCCUUGGCCACGAUAUCAGAGUGCAUCGCCAAUAUUACAGGCUGCCUGAAGGGACAUUACAACUGGCAAAAAUAAGUAAAGUUCUUAUGGCUCUGGAACGAGGACAGCUGUCUGAAUUCAAAGGAAAGAAUCUUGAUGAGAUCAACAUUGAUCCACGAGGUAAAACAGGCCUGUGCAAAUGUAUGUAUUUAAAACCAAAGUAA
rnacentral:lncRNA from 1 species